GCGGGUGUGGUGGAAUUGGCAGACACGCAAGAUUUAGGAUCUUGUACUUCCGUGUGCAGGUUCAAGUCCUGUCACCCGCA
rnacentral:tRNA from 1 species